GACAGAGGAUGCAAGCGUUAUCCGGAAUGAUUGGGCGUAAAGCGUCUGUAGGUGGUUUAAUAAGUCAACUGUUAAAUCUUGAGGCUCAACCUCAAAAUCGCAGUCGAAACUAUUAGGCUAGAGUAUAGUAGGGGUAAAGGGAAUUUCCAGUGGAGCGGUGAAAUGCGUAGAGAUUGGAAAGAACACCGAUGGCGAAGGCACUUUACUGGCUAUUACUAACACUCAGAGACGAAAGCUAGGUAGCAAAUGGG
rnacentral:rRNA from 1 species